GACAAUUCUAAAAUCUUAUAUUGGGAGAACGUAAACUGAGUCCGAUUUCCGAUAUUUCAUCUACAUAUUUUAUAUUCCGGCAAACAUGCUUCGCAUUAUCAACAACGAAGAGAAGUAAAAUUCCCGCUCGUAUCUGCAGGUAUGCUUGACCGAGAAGAUUCCGACGACAUAAGAGAUUUCCAAUUUUCCGGCGGGUCGCGAC